rnacentral:misc_RNA from 1 species
AAGACUAUAGACCUGCGGAGUACCUGCGGAGGGAUCAUUAAUGAAUUUUAGGACGUUCUUUUUAGAAGUCCGACCAUUUCAUUUUCUUACACUGUGCACACACUUCUUUUUACACACACUUUUAACACAUUAGUAUAAGAAUGUAAUAGUCUCUUAAUUGGGCAUAAACAAAAAUAAAACUUUCAACAAUGGAUCUCU